rnacentral:tRNA from 1 species
GGGCCCGUUCCGGCAGGACGAACGCUUUGGCCUGCUAGGACCUAGCUGGCCACCCAUGCCUGGACGGACUAUUAAUCCGCGGGUCGCGGGUUCGAUCCCCGCCGGGCCCA